GACGAACGCUGGCGGCGUGCUUAACACAUGCAAGUCGAACGGAAAGGCCCUGCUUUUGCGGGGUGCUCGAGUGGCGAACGGGUGAGUAACACGUGAGUAACCUGCCCUUGACUUUGGGAUAACUUCAGGAAACUGGGGCUAAUACCGGAUAGGAGCUCCUGCUGCAUGGUGGGGGUUGGUAAGUUUGGCUGUUGGGGAUGGAUUUGGCGGUUACCAGCUUGUUGGGGGGGGAGUGGCCUACCAAGGCUUUGACGGGUAGCCGACCUGAGAGGGUGACCGGGCACCUUGGGCCUGAGAUACGGCCCAGAAUGCUACGGGAGGCAGCAGUGGGGAAUCUUGCACAAUGGGCGGAAGCCUGAUGCAGCAACGCCGCGUGCGGGAUGACGGCCUUCGGGUUGUAAACCGCUUUCGCCUGUGACGAAGCGUGAGUGACGGUAAUGGGUAAAGAAGCACCGGCUAACUACGUG
rnacentral:rRNA from 1 species